AGCGAACGCUGGCGGCAGGCUUAACACAUGCAAGUCGAGCGGGCACUUUCGGGUGUCAGCGGCGGACGGGUGAGUAACGCGUGGGAACGUGCCCUCUGGUUCGGAAUAACUCAGGGAAACUUGAGCUAAUACCGGAUACGCUCUUUUGGGGAAAGGCUUGCUGCCGGAGGAUCGGCCCGCGUCUGAUUAGCUAGUUGGUGCGGUAACGGCUCACCAAGGCGACGAUCAGUAGCUGGUCUGUGAGGAAGAUCAGACACACUGGGACUGAGACACGGCCCAGACUCCUACGGGAGGCAGCAGUGGGGGAUAUUGGACAAUGGGCGCAAUCCUGAUCCAGCCAUGCCGCGUGAGUGAUGAAAGCCUGAGGGUUGUAAAGCUCUUUUAUCCGGGACGAUAAUGACGGUACCGGAGGAAUAAGCCCCGGCUAACUUCGUG
rnacentral:rRNA from 1 species